UACAGAGGGUGCGAGCGUUAAUCGGAAUUACUGGGCGUAAAGCGCGCGUAGGCGGCUUUGCAAGUCGGGUGUGAAAUCCCCAGGCUUAACCUGGGAACUGCAUUCGAGACUGCAUUGCUAGAGUAUGGGAGAGGGAAGUGGAAUUUCCGGUGUAGCGGUGAAAUGCGUAGAUAUCAGGAGGAACACCGGUGGCGAAGGCGGGUCUCUGGGCAACAACUGACGCUGAGGCACGAAAGCGUGGGGAUCAAACAGG
rnacentral:rRNA from 1 species